UUAAUAUAUAAAAAUAAAGUAGAAAAUAUUUUACACUAUACAAUAAUACACAACAUAAAUAGGGUUAUCAAAAUUAUUUUAUACAAGCUAUUUAUUCCUGUCUGGCACUAUUGGACUAUCCAAACACUGAAUGUCUUACUGCGUGACAAUAGUAAUCGGUACAAGAAUUUGAUAAUAAUAACCAAGCGGCGUCGUGAACUAUUUUGCAAGUGAUACGAGACAAUUUGAGGUAAGGGGUGGUGUUUGUCCCUCACACAACAUGACACGUUUUUAUGAAAAAAAUUAUUCCGCUGCAAAUUCUGAUUAUUUU